GGCGGCGGCGGGCGCGCAGGCGCACUGUCUGCCCUCGCCUCGCACGCGCGCCCCUCCGCGCGGACCGUGCACAGGAUCCUUCCGCCCGCCGCCUGAGGGUCCGCUAAAAGUAGUCCCGCACGUAUCAGCGUUUCCGGAACCCCCAGUGUUAGAGCGGUCUGUACCGGGGCAGGAUUUCUCUCGACUUUAGCGGCCGCAGAUCAGUGCCAAGAGUCUUCAAAGAUCAUGCAGCUGUUGAUGAUGCAGUGAAGAGUCCCUGGAUCAGUUCCCAGCAUUGCAUAUGAUCUCCCAAGCACCACCAGAAGUGACCCCUGAGCAAAGCUAGGAGUAAGUCCUGAGCACCGCUGGGUGUGGCCUCUCUCAAAAAGAAAAAAAUUUUCUUCUGAGCAUCCCUAAGGUACAAUGAAGAUAAGGUCGG